GACGGGGGAUGGAAGCGUUAUCCGGAAUCACUGGCCGGAAAGCGUCUGUAGGUGUUGAUGCAAGUCACUGGUGCAAAACUCUGGCUCAACCGGAGGAAAGCCAGUGAAACUGCAUGACUAGAGUGUGGGAGAGGUAGAAGGAAUUCCCUGAGUAGCGGUGAAAUGCGUAGAUACAGGGAAGAACACCGGAGGCGAAAGCGUUCUACUGGAACACAACUGACUCUGAGAGACCAAAGCUAGGGGAGCGAAUGGG
rnacentral:rRNA from 1 species